rnacentral:tRNA from 1 species
GCGGAUAUGAUGAAAUUGGUAAACAUGUUAGAUUUAGGCUCUAAAAGAGAAAUUAUCAACUCUAUUAAAGGUUCAAAUCCUUUUAUCCGUA